rnacentral:tRNA from 1 species
GUAUAGCUCAGUGGUAGAGCACUUGCUUAGCAUGCAUGAGGUCAUGGGUUUGACCCCCAAUAC